UAUCUUUUCAUAUAAGAUUCUAGUUUUUUAUAAAAAGUUGUUGAAAAAAAAAAUCUUUUCAUAUAAGAUUCUAAUGCAUAAGCUCACCGCAUUAUAAAUUAUUUCAGCUUCACCUUUUCACUCACCUCCGCCUCAACUCUCUUUCACUGAACUCUGUCUCACUCAACUCGGUCUCAUUCAUCGCCUAUCUUUCACAAAAGGACUUGAAUAUGAGCAAUAUACAGGUUCGAUAUAUUUUGCUAAAAUAUUUUGUUUGUUUUUUGAAUUUAAUGAUGCAACUUCUGAUUUAGAAUUUCUAAUAAUACCUGGGUCAUCAUAAUAUAUAUCAAGGUUUAAGUUUUCCAUUUUAAUUAAAACUUGAUGUGUCCAACUUCAAUUAGGGAAAAUUUGCAGCCAGUUUCCAGUGCUGUGUUCUGGGCGUUGGACAGCUGGUUGCCUGGAACACCAUUCUGACUAUUUCGGACUACUACUACCAGGUUUUCCCGGUAAGCUGUCAACAAUCUUACACCCUUAAAAACCUAACUUAAUUCUUGAUGUCUUACUUUUAUUCUCUACUUGUGUAUGAUUUUAUAUGGGUAUCAUUAAUUAUAUAUGUAUUUUGUUUUCAAUAUAGAUAAUGUAUCAUAUAUAGCGUUUUUUUUUGUCUAACUUGCUUCAAUACCUUGUAUACAUUCCACUGCAUGGGAAAUAAAUUUUGGUUUUUAUGUAACCUUUACAAUAACCAAUAUCUAUGUUUAAAACAUACAUAGUAUUAUACUUUUGAAUAGGAACGUUAAGUAUGAAAUCAUUUUGAUAAAAAGUUCAACUAUGAGAUCAUCUGAUAAAUAUAUGAUAUAUUACAUACAUAUACAUACAUAUAUAUGGUAACAAACAUUUUUAAAAGUUUGAAAAUUAAACAUUUUCAAAAAAACAAAACUUUAAAAAUUAGUUAUUUUAUCAAUGAAUACAUAUACUGUGCAAAUUUUAUAGUUUGACAUAUUCCGCAUCUAUUUAAAUUUUGAUGUUUAGUUUUUUUUUUAUCUUUUAAUUACAAAUUUACAGGUAGCUUAACAAUUAUUAUACAGUCAUUUUUCUAAUAACAAUAUACCCAUUUCCGUUAAAACUUUGACGAAGUCCCCAUUUGUAUGGAUAAAUCAGCCCUGGUAUAAAUCCAUUUUGAUAAGUUCCAAGACCGUGUGAUUAUAGUAGUUCCAAGUCCUCCGAUAGCUUUUGGAACACCACAACAUCAAAUGAUCAAGAUCAAAUCAUUAUUGUGUUUUCAUUGAUCAACCUUAUAACAGUUAACUUUUUAGAAUGAAUACAGUAGUUAACUUAUUAAAAAUAAUUACAAAGAAUUCUUUCAAAUAUCUCAUAAAGAAUUAUUUCAAAUAUCUCAUAAUUGCUUCAGUGAUUUCCAUAAAUGAAAAAAUAUCCAAUAAUAUCUCAAUAUCUUUUUAAAAUCUAAUUGACCCAUUUAAAACAUUUGCAGGACUACCAUCCGUCUCGAACGCUGACGCUCGUUUACCAGCCCUUUGUUCUGGGAACGAUAUCAGUAUUGGUUUUUGUGGGACAGAAAAUCAAAAACCAAAGGAGAGUCUUCACCGGUGACUGCCUAUUUGUAAUUGGCAGCAUUUUGCUACUAACGGUAUUCUCUUUAUAAAUAAGUUUUUCUUUUUGGUUUUAUUCUCAUCUAAAUUUUUCGUUUAGUCCUUAAAUCGUGUCUGAUAGUUAAGAACACAUAUGUCUUUUUUUUAUUACAUUAGUUAAGAACAUAUUUUUCUUUGAUUUUGAGCUUUCUCAUUUAUAUUAAUAUUUAUAAUUUGACAGGUUGACAUCGUAACCAAAGGAAAGGGAGGAAUAACCCCGUUUCUCCUUUUAUCCAUUGUAUCGGCGGGAGUUGGCGUAGCCAACGCCCUUGUCGAAGGAGCAAUGAUAGGCGACCUUAGCUGCAUAUGCCCCGAUCUUAUCCAGCCCUUCGCCGCAGGGCUUGGUGUAUCAGGAGCCAUAACGUCAGUUUUAAGGCUGCUUACCAAAGCAGUCUUCCAGAACUCCCGGGACAGCCUAAGAAAAGGGGCAUGUACGAUUCUUAAUCUAUGAAUUACACAAGCAGUUUAAUUAUUUGGAUAUGUAUGAAAGCUCGCUAAUUUUUUUAUUGUGAUGAAUGUAGUAUCAUUCUUAGCCAUUUCACUCUUCAUCGAGCUAGUAUGUGUGAUCAUAUACGGUGUGAUGUUUCCGAAGCUGCCCAUGGUCCAAAAGCAUCGAGCACGCUCGGGUUCAAACCCAGUGGAACCCGUUGAGGAAGUCCCACCACUAUCCAACCAACAACUGGCGCAUCAGAACUUGGACAGGGUUAUAAGUUUAUUCCUGAUAUACGCUUUGACGUUGUCAAUAUUUCCCGGGUUCCUCUACGAGAACACGGGAAAGCAUUCGCUACAUUCGUGGUUUGUUCCUCGUAUACGUUUUAGUUACGAUUUCUUUUCCUUUUAUCAUCUGAUAUCUUCUAAUACAUUUAUUGUUUAACAAUGAUUUGUAGGUACCCUCUCGUCCUCGUUACUUGUUUCAACUUAAGCGAUGCGCUUUCUCGAUACAUCACUAUGGUCAAACCCCUUAAAAUGCAAUCAGGAAAAGUGAUAGUAGCCUCUGUUCUUGCUCGAAUGUUGUUCCUUCCCGCCUUUUAUAUCACCGCAAGGUACGCAGAUCAGGGUUGGAUGAUCACCCUGACAUCCUUCCUAGGCAUUUCAAACGGUUAUCUUACCGUCUGCAUACUCACGCAAACACCAAAGAGAACUUACAAUGUAAGUAGUUAACAUUUACAUUAUUAUUUUCUGUGUACUGAAAAUUAUGAAAAGAGACAUCAUAAAUUGAUACUCUUCUUUUAUGUGGACAGGUAUCUGAAGCUAAUGCUCUCGGCAACAUCCUUGUAGCCUCGAUGCUUGGGGGGAUCUUUGCUGGUGUCUGCCUUUCAUGACUUUGGUUGAUCGGCAGCAACAAGUCCUUUUAUUUCCUUUUUAUUUAUAUCGCAUUGUAUUGUUUAAGGAUUCAUCGUAACUGCAGAAAACGAGGUUUCACGAGUUUGUCUUUAUCAUAUCUUAUGCUACCUCAAUAUGUUGGGAAUUUAUGAUAAAAUUAAACAAGAAAAAAGGGAAUCCUCCACAAGAGUUUUGAAUUUUCAUAAAUUUUAAGUAGAAAAUAAUAAUGAAUUAAUAACUAAUACUUACACAUUUCGUUUUAGUUUAUUUUCAUAGUUCUGUUCUCUGAGCUCAUAGGACACAUUUAAAGUUAAUCAGGAAACUGUUUUCUACCUAAAAAAAGGAACAAUUAUCUUAAAACCAAAGAAAACUAAUGAAAUUAGUAGCUUAAUACCAAGCACAAUAAAAGUUGCUACUUCGUUGGCAUAGAUGGUUUAUUGUAAUGAGGAAGUUAGCCUUAGAAGUUCUGUAUAAACUUGAGCCUGUAGCGAAGUACAAUUAAAGGAUAAGAGAGAGGAUUUUGUUUGAUUUGCUGAUAUUUUGGAUAUUGUAAUGAUUUGGUUAUAUUUUCCUUGGUAAAUGAAAGCUGUACUGUGCAUUGUGAAGCUUAAUCUCCUCCACAACAUGUCUGACACAUUCGGCGCAGCUGGAAAACCGAAUCUAGAAAAAGAUAUGCAUCAUCUACAUAUUGUGUAAGUCGAUAUUGUGCACUGUUCUCUAAUCUCUGAGGGUUUAUAAAAGAAGGUAAGUUUUAUCAAUCUUUGAUAGUAAACUUGUCUGAGAGAAGAAUCUGUGCGAGAGGUAUGAACUAUUCGUAAACCUUAAUACUCCAUCAUGAUUCGGUUAGCGUGAAGAAUGCAUUCAUGAUAUCCUCCAUUUAAUGUUAAUUUUUUGUGUCAUGCUAUAAAGAAACAUGAAGUUUUGAAAUCAGAACUUUUGGACUUAUUAAAGACACAUCUUUUAGGGGAAAUAUGGAAUAUAGCCUGAUCCCUAAAAUUUGUGGACAUGUAAAUGUUCAUAUCAUAUUUUGAUUUUUGGAAUUUGGGAAGAUACCUAUUGUUUUGUGUAUACAUGGCGCAUGAGAUGAGUGAGAGUGUGGCAUGCAAAAUAGAGAAAGAAUGAAAGACUGCAUUGGCAAUUCGUCCCUGAGCCAUAUGACUACAGGUUCACUAUUUACAUAGAGGACCCUGAGAUCCUGGAUGGUGUAAUCACGACUGUCAGGAAACAUUAUGGUCUAGCUUAGCAGACACCAAUGGUUAUAAAUUAUGGUGUACAAGAUUGGAUGCUUUUCCCGAGCGGCCUAGCUCCUCCUUUGACUAUAGGAACGACGACAGAUCUUGUCAAAUUGGUAACGGAGAGGCUCUGGCUGAUGGAGGUAACAUUGUUGGUGACUUUUGGAUCAAAGUGUGUAGCAACCUAUCAUUUUAACCGGCGGUCCAAUUUCAUGAUUGGUCUAACAACUUAUGUUGUAGAUGAAACAUAUGAUGCUAGAUCAAAAGCUGAAUAUGAGAGUAAGAUGUUGGAUCUUAUUCUGUUUUUGUGUAUUUGCAACAUCGAUAAAUAAGUGUAGUGUUUAACAAAUAUGAUGUUUACUAUUUAAGGUUUGGCGUAUGGAGAAAGGCUAGCAACUAGUGAAAGAUGAUCAGCCAGAUAAUUGAGGAUCAGGAAAUGCUAGUAUUCCACCGUGUUGCAUUGGAAACGGGACUUGCAGAUGAAGGACAGCGUGCUCCAGUUAACACCCGUGUAAUGACUGGAACAUAGAUAAUACAAUUCGAUGAGGAAGAUGACAUGACUGAUGUUCCCUUAACAGUGCAGCGUAAUGGUCCAGCAAUGCUAUCUCGAAGCCGUAAGUGUCGUCUUUUAAUAAAAAGAUAUUAAAUCUGUUAAAUGUGGAUAUUGGUUUGGUUUUAAGUUUUUUUUUUUGGUUUUUAAUCUUCUAAAAUAUAACUAUUAUUUUAAAUUAAUAUUCAUUUUAGUUUAUUCGGUUAAAAUGUUUGAUUUAUUUGGUUUUUUUCUAUAAAAAUAAAAAAAUAAUAUUAUUUGUUUAUUUUCAUGUUAGGAAUUUUAGAUAGUCGUCAUGUCGAACCAGUAGUUUCAUAUUAUAGUUUCAAAACAGAUAAUAGUUUAAGAAAAAGAAAAGAAAAUUAUUAAGACAAAACAUUUCACUACAAUUUGGUCGGUAGUGAAAGAAGUAUUAAGAAAAAAUAUUUCAAGUUUCAAAAAAUUUAAAUAUUUCAAUUGUGGUGAAUACUUAGUUACAAGGUGUUCACAUCAAGGGGCACAUGUAUGUGUAUGUAAAGUAUAUAAGAAUAGUUGACAAAUAUAUAAAGAUAUUGUUAAUUAAUAUUAAAUGACAUUUUUGUGUAAAAUAAUACAUGAAAGAUAAAAUUAAAAUUAAUUUAAAAUAAAAAAGGCCUUGACAUUAGUCAUUUUUUUCAUAUAAAGAAAAUAAAACUGUAUCCGUAAAUAGAGGUGGGCACUGAUUGAAUAUCUGAGAAUUUGGAAGCAUUCGUGUCGAUUCGAUCUUUAGCCACCUAGAUAUUCGGUGACUCGGAUAUCCGAAAUGUUUUUGAAUUUUAAAGAAUAUCCGAUUUGAUCCGUAAAUAAAAUAAAAUUUUAAAAAUAACUGAAAAAUUAAUAAUAACAUUUUAUUAAAAAAUAAAACACUAUUUAACUUAUAAAAUUUUAGUACCUAAUAUAAUAAAUUUAAUUCAUAAAAAUAUUGUAAAACUGAUAUAAAGUAUAAUAUAUAUAACAUACAUAUAUAAUUACUUACAUAUAUGUAUAUAAAUGCAUAUAACAUAUCGAAUUAGAUAUCUGUUCCUUAAAAUAUUGGCAUUUUUGAUUUGAUUCUUUUUGGAUAUUGUAUUUUAGUAUUUGAUUGGUUUCAUAGAGACACGGAUAUCCAGAUUUUUUGGUUCAAAUAAAAAUGGAUAACGAAUUAAAUCAAUAUUUCUGAAUAUUUUGCUCAACUUUAUCCGUAAACAAUAAAAAUGAUACAUAUAUAUAUAUAUAUAGUUUGACUUUUGAUACGUUAUCUAUUUUUAUUCGAAACAAAACAUCCAGAGUUUUAUUGGAACCAUGUAUGUGAGUUUUAUAUUAAAAAAGUACAAAGUACAUAGUGUGAACACAUUUAUGAAUAUAGUGUGAACGCGUUAGCAUAAUUAUUAUCAAAUCAUUGUGAGGCUGGCACGUGUUUAUUAUUGUGUGAAUGCAUUUAUUAUAAUGCUUCUCUUUUAAUAUAUAAGGGAUGUUUAGACCCAUAUAUAAAGGUGCCAUACAUAUAUAAAUGUGAACACUGAAGCAAGCUAACUAUUUAAAAUGAUGGGUAAAUAAUUUACGAUAUAGUUAUGUAUAUGAUUACUGUUAAAUUAAUUUAGGCUAAAGGGUAAUUGUUUUCUAUGAUUGGGUCCAUUUUAUAAUGCAAAGCCAUACAUAGCAAGCUAACUAUUUUAAUUUACUACCUGUUAAUUAAUUUAUGUUACGGGCUUAUUUUUUACCCUUGUUCGAAAACUCUCGCUAGGUGCUACGCGUGCGGCACAUACCGGCCGAGCGAUUUAUUAGAAAAGAGGAAAAAAAUCUGGGAGUAAUCGGGAAAGAUUUUUUUUGUACUUUUAUAUAUAUAAUACCUUAUUUAUAUGUAUAAUACCAAAUAUUUAUGUAUAAUAAAUACAUGUUUAUGUAUAAAAUAUCAUUGGUACUAAAAUAGAAAUAUGUAAAUACAUAUCAAAUUAGAUCACAAAAUAUAAUUAUGUCUAUUGCAGUUCAAAUAUAGUAUAUUUAUAAUAAGGUUUUGUGGAAUAUUACAAAUAAAUUAAUGUGGUCCGGUGUUAAAGUUUUCAGUAAGUUACUUAUGUCUAUGUUGUAGAUUCGAUUUUUUUUUGUUAUUUAAAUAUUGACUUUUAUUGUAGAGAGUUGUGAAUCUCAACAUCCCACAUCGGACGUUUGUAAACUGGUGCAGAAGGAAUGACUAGUAUAAAUAGAGCACGUAUUAUAGACUUUAGGAAACUCAAUCAGGCUUUAAAAAAGGCAAAGCCCAUUUUUAUUGGGCUUAACCUAGAAAAUUUUGUUAUUAAUCGUCAGUUAAUUCGAUUUAAUAGCGGCCGGUUUGUUCUUUAGCGAUUUACCAAACCGAUUGGUUAAAAUCGCCACGGUUGGACUCCGAGUUGCGAUUACCUGGCUGCAAAACCGGCUACUCGGCCGAGUUUUUGAACAAAUUUUUUUACUAUGAUUGAGCCCAUUUUAUAACGUGAAGCCAUACAUAUAAAUGUCAACGAUGUAACAGCCUAAAUAUUUUAUAAAGACGGGCAAACACUACAAAAAAAACCUCCAUAUUAGCGCGAGGAAACCACUAUCAUAUGCCUGGGAUAGCGUAUUAUGAACUGCUAUGUCUGCUAUAAUAGUUCUCCCUUAUUAUAGCGGUUUCUCACAUGCUAUCGUAGCGAAAACAUAUGAUAGCAGUAUUUUUGUGUUUUCUGUUAUAUUGUUAACAUUAUAAUAGCGUUGUUUCCGACGGUUACAUUUGUUAUUUCAAUAGCAUAUCUUGAAGGCUAUAAUUGUUUUUUUCAUAUUGCACUAUUGGAUGUUUUACUUUUCUAUAUUACAGCGGUUUUAUAGAUGCUAUUGGUUAAUGGUUAGUUUUUUUUUGUAGCUAAUACAACAUGUUAUUAGUAGUUUGACGUAUACCACAACCUGUUUGAUUUGUAUUGAAAGACACACAUUCAUAAAUUCAAACGCACAACCUACAAUAUUCAUUGGAAAAGAAGUAUCAAACUACAAGUCGCAAUCCGACACAUUACUAGUACAACACAUACAUAAAUGCAUCACUUAGUCUAAAUCAUCCAAGCAGAAAGAGUAGUACAUUAGACCUGAGAGUAGUUAACACAAGAUCACUUUCUCCUUUGGCCAUGCAGUGCAGGUGCCCAGUGCAUCUCCCAUACACUCAAUCUCAGUAGAUGGCAGCCAAAUCUCUGCCUUAUUCAUCUUCACCACAUCAAUCCAGACUUUAGCUCCAUUAGGUCCCAAGGGAACAAAGUGCACUGUUUGUUCCGGGUUGUCUGAAGCCCAACGUCCUUCUGCAACGACCUGCUUCUUUCAUGUAAUAGACAUGAGCUUGCAUUUCUGAUUCUCUUUGGCAGCUUCAUUUUGACUCUGAUGCUACAAUGUUUGCAAGACAAACCAAUAUAUCUCAGUGAAUAGGAUAACAAAAAACAGCUAGUUAAUACCAUAUACAACAAAUUCACGUAUGAUCAUCAAAUGUGAGAAGGUGCUUCAGUUUUGUUAAGGGUAGCUUUUGGAGAUUGAUCGCUUGAUUUAGAGCGUGGUGAUGCAGAACACGUAGCAGCUUUUGCAGAUUGUGCUUUAGGAGAAGAUGGUUGAUUCUGAAGAGGAGAUCUACGGCAUGGUGACUGUGGUGUUUUCGAACACACACUUAUUGGCUGGCCAGACUACAAAAUGCUUAACCAGAGUCCGUAAGGUAAAUUAUAUCUGGUCUAGGUCUCCAUAGAAAUGUAUCAGGAACAUGAACCACAUCCACAAAAUCUUUUACUACAUUAGGUCUUGGAGGCAGUUUGCAUUUGUUCAAGGAAUUGGAAUUUGAACUCUACAUACACAUGGAAAAGACAAUAUAAAAAUGUUAAUCAAAACAGCAACAUAAACUGAAAUAAUAAGGUGGACAAUAAGAAAUCUUACCCUUGAAGGAAUGUCUUCGGUAUAUAUCCCCUCGUUUGACAUAACACAUUUACUGGCAGGCCAUGAAAUCAUCUCCCCAACCGCGUGCUCAACAAUAACAUACCGGUAGCAGGCCUCCAAAGAAAUGCAUCUGAUUUGAUUGCAGUCUCCAUUUUUGUCGAUUUUUUAGUACUCUACUUAAAAUGAGAAUGAGUUUUGCUAAAAGGGAAAAGAGACAUAACAUUGGCGCUUAUGUUAUUUUCUCUUAUGUUAUUUUUUAUUGCCGCUCACUAAUUUUUGCCAAUGUCGUGUUUAACUGAUAUUAAUAAAAACCAAAAUCCCAAAUUUGAUUUUCCAUAGCAUUUUAGAAAAUACUGCUAUAAUAUUGUGCUAUCAAUACACAUUUUUUGUUAGUGAAAUAAUUUACAAUAUAAUUGAGUAUAUUAUGAUUGGUUAAUUAAUGUUGUAACUAGUUAAUUAUUUACUACCUAUUUACCAUAUACGAUGAGCACUAACAUGUUAUAUCCAUAGGUGGUGAGGCAACAACCAAUCAACAACAGCCCCUUCAACCGGCGGGAGUGUCAGCUAGUGCUGUAUGCUCAUAUUAACCUUAAGCAACACUCCCAAAUAAAAUAUCAAUUGCAGUACUUAAGGAUCGAAUCCACAUAGAGCGUGGGAACUCAAUAGAUAAGAUGAAUAGUAAGAGCAAGCUAGGAAAUAUAUAUUAAAACAGUAAAUAAAAUAUUAAAUAAGCAGUAAAUAGGGUAAAUGAGAUGUGUUUUCACAGAUAAAACGAAGGCUAGACUCCCAGAGGUGUCCUUUCUUUAGUAAUUCGUUAACCUCAAUUCUUAGUGCGACGCAAUCCUCCGUUUUGUUGACCUUGGUCAUUGUGGAAUUCGGACCACCGGUUUGGGUUCCGGAAAGAAUCAGGCGCUUUCAUUUUCUCAGACCACUUGACUUGUUGACCCAUCUGCCUUAGGACAUUAAUCAGCUCCGGUUUCGAUAUGCAAAGAUGGGAGAUAUCGGUAGGUAAGUUGAUAUGCCACUGCAGGACAGGUCCUGUCAAAGUUGAAAAAAAACCCUUACACAUAGUCCCUUCUCUAAAUUCCUUUUGGAGGGCUACAAUGAGCAUUCAAUGCAUGUACUGGGCGACAUGAUUAUCCGGGUCGCUAGUGCCGUCAAACAUCCUCAUACUGGGGAAAUAGAACUUUCUUGGCAUCUCUAUCAAGCCAAUCUCAUCCCCAAAGGGGGUAUCGACAUAGGAACUCGGAUCACUCCUCCGGAUCGAUGGAGCCUGUAGUAACCCGCCUGAAGGGGUAAAAUGGUCGAGAUCGACAAAGUCGGAAUUUGGAGCCGAGCUUUUGGGAAUCGAAGUAUGAUGGAGAAUGUUGAGUUUUGAUCAUAUAAAUCUUAACAUGGUUCGGCGAAAAUGGAAGAUUGGUCGAGCAUCUACUUGGUGGUCGAGUCGCGGGCGAUAAGGAUUGAUCGAGAAAUUUUGAAGAACGAGGUAGUCGAAGAAUUGAUUCUGAGUGAACCAUGAGUCGGAUGAGCUGCUUGACCAUGGUUAGACAAUGUGAUAGAUUGAUCAGAAGAAUGUUUUCGAAACAUCAUGUUUUUGGAAGCACGACGUUUUAAAAGCUCGACGUUUUAGAAGAAGGAUGUUUCUUCAGCAAGAAGUUUUCUGCAAAACUUCGUAUCAGCGGAAUAUUAUUUUGAAGUCAUCGGAAUCAGGAUGGGAAUUAAGCAGGACGGGAAGCAAACACGACGAGAUCAAAGCAUGACGGGAAAACCCAAAAUUGGAUGAAAACCCUAAUUUCAGUAUUAUGGAAGUUUCGAUGAAGCCGGAGGCUGGAGAAAUAUUUACCGCCAAGAUCAGAAUUCUUUCUGGAGUUUAUCAAAAUUAUUCAGCGAAUCAGAACGGGAGUGGAAAAAUAAUCGGGAUGGAUCGCAGGUCAAAAAUAUGCAGGAAGGACCAAAAUCAGACGAAUGGACCGAGAAGCUCGAGGUGGCUCAUCGCAUGGAAUCAGAACGUGGUGUCAACUGUCCAGCAAUCUGAGUGUCUACAGAAGCUCAAGGUGUGGCUGUGCAUGAAGCAGGAGCAUGCAAAUUGACGUGUGGAACACGAGGUGGAUCGACCAAGCACGAGGUGUCUCCGCGCAUGCAACUGAAGCAUGAUGAUCGACAUGUGUGUACUGGUGUGGCGUCUUCCAUGCACUCCAGGCAUGCAUCCUGAAAUGUGGGAGGAGGUAUGUCGUCCUGCAUGAGGCUGAGACAUGCAGCCAGCCAGGUGGAGCACGAGGUGCGGCCGCACAAGCGUUCGGAUCCAUGCGGAGCGACACACGGGCUGCCACCAACCUAAAGCUGAUUGGUUGUUGUCUUCUAUAAAUACCCCACGACCCCAGAUCAUUUCUACACAUCCAGAGCUGCCCAAACCAAGUUAAAAAUGUGAGAGAAAAGUAGAAAAAGAAAUCAAGAGUUUACGAGCUAUUUCGAGAGUUUUAGAAAAUUUUCGAGACCAGUUCUCUACUGAUUUCGAGUCAGUGCCUAAGGAAGGUUCUGCCCAACUGAAGGUCAAUAAAGUGAAGAUCAGUUCAGAUGGGAAGCCACUCCAAAACGUGGGAAGAGAGAGAGAGAGAGAGAGAGAGAGAGAGAGAGAGAGUGAGAGAGAGAGAGAGAGAGAGAGAGAGAGAGAGAGAGAGAGAGAAAGAGAAAGGAAGUGGUCGAUGUAGAGUAUGGUCGAUUCUGAAGAUUGAUACUCCACCGAGAAGACCAGUUUCGUCCAAUUGACGAUUUCUACGAUUGUGAGGCGGAAGCUCUGUCCAAAUCAGUCCGUCCAGGCCAGUCAGUUCCAUUGAUGAUCAAGUGGAGGUGCUGUUCAGAGUUGGUUCAGUUUCACGGGUUCAGAUCAGUUAAAGUUUUACUCGAUACUCCACCCGGAAGUCCGAAGAACUGUCUAGAAGCUACAGAAGGUUGUACUCGAGUUGAGUUCAGUCCAGACCAGUAUCAGGGGAGGUUAUUUCCAAGUAAAGAUCAGUGCAGUCCAGUCCAGUCAAGUCGUCUGUUGGGUUUUGGCAAAGUCUUCUCCUAUCAACCAGCUGCUUCUCGCCUAGAACACUGUGAGUUGACUUGUUUGAAUUCCACUUGGAAUUUAAGGUAGGUUUGUGAGUUGGCUUGUUUGAAUUCCACUUGGAAUUUAGGGUAGUUUUGUGAGUCAGUUUGUUUGAGUCCCACUUGGAAUUUAGGGUAGAUCGAGUCUGCAUAUAGAGUAGAAUACUCACAUUAUUGCAUGGUAGAGUCCUUAGGGUUAUUUUAUUUCUGGAAUCAAACUUAGUUUAGCAAGGGCUAAGCUGAGAUAAAAAGAAUAAAGACUGAGUUAAUAACCUGACUAGGGCUAGGGCUAGAUGAAUCGUGUUAUCUAUUCUAUUGUUUUGACAUGGUUGAGUGUAAGUUUUGUUAUCUUUAAAGAUGGUUUUGCACCAAAGUUUUUGUGGUCUUUUUUCAUGCCUGCCAGUGAGCUUAAAAUAGGAAAGAACCCUCUGAAAUUAGAUAGUUAUAUUAGAUGGAAUAAGAUGAUUAUAUAUUACAAAAUCCUGAUAUUACAUCCAAACUUGUAAUACACAGUAUUUUAUAAAACUUAUAUAGUCCAUGAAAAUAAGCAUGAAAAUAAGCAUUAUACCCUCUUAUUCUUCAUUCUUUCAUCACUGAAAGGAUGAUUUGACAACAAGAGACGAGUCCAAAGAACCCAUCAUCUAUAUGACGUUAAAAUUUAAGAUGCAAGAAUGUAUAACCUAAUAAGACUUGUUGAAACUAACAAAACUUUUGACAACUUAUUUAAACUUCAACUGAUUUCGAUUGUAUAGAACUUUGUUUGUAUAUGAUAAGGACUUGAUAGAUCGUAUAUUGAUUAUUGAUGUUAGAAACCCGAGCACUAAUGGUAUUUGACAACUAUAUUGUUUGCUAACGUUAAAACAUAUUUAUAAUUCAAAUCCCAAACAAAACUUGUAGGAUGGUGCUGGAUACGAGGCAUGGAGAAGCCAUUAUUUGUGACAAAGAUUUCUCAUUUGAUAAGACAAAUGGAUAUAAACUUGUUUGCUUGUUUACAUUGGAUUAAUAAAACUAUACACGUUUUAUUCUUACUAAUUUUAAACAUAUUUGUUAAUUAACUUCAUUCCUAAACCGGAUACAUAUAAUAUGUUUUUCUGCGGUUAAUAUUUGAUUCGAUUAUCUGUGCUUAUAAUGUUAACUUCCAAGUUUGUCAAAAUUUUACAAAGGCAAAUGAUAUCACUCAAAUUAUCCUAAGUAAUUUAUGAUUUCUUAAAUAAGAGGUUGAGUUGUAGUACUUAGGCAGGACCGUCUCAAAUUCUACGGAGACCCUGUUUAAAAAAAAGGCCCUAUUAAUAACCCGAAAUAGUUUAUGUUUUUCUCGCAAAAUAUUGUUAUAAUAUAUAAUAAAUAAACCAAUCUAAUUUGAGUGGAAGAAACAUUAAUUGGUUUUAUAAUUAAAACCUUAUGAAAAGCACAUCUUUGAGACUAUGAAUUUUUCAGUUUCCUUUUUUCUUUGAUUUUUUUUUUGUAUCCAACAAUCAUGAGUUAUAAUCUAUAAAAAAUAAUAGAGCAAUAGAACAUGGAUAGUGGUUAAACCAAAAGCCGUAGACUCUUGAUUUGAUUAAACAAGAAGUUGGAGACUCCUCAUUUUUCUUCUCGAUAGAAGCUUAAACUAGUAGUUGUCAAAAAAAAAAACUAGUCAUUCUUCUUUGUGUUUACUAUUUUUUGUAAAAGUUGCUGAAAAUUAUAUAUUUCUCUUCUUAUUUAUAAUCACUAAUUAAAAAUAGUUUCCUAAAUAUAAUCAAACUAGAAUAUUGACCUUUUAAAUUUACAUUGAAUACUAAAUCAAACACCAACAUCUAUUUUUUACUUUCCAAAAAAAAAUGUAUAUAUAUAUAUAUAUAUAUAUAUAUAUAUAUAUAUAUAUAUUUGUCAUCUUUCCAAAAUAUAUUAAUUGAUAUAAAUGUUAAUUUCUUUCUGAGUUAUUGCAUUUUUGUUGGUUAUGUAAACACAAUCAAAUUGUAAUUUAUAUUUAUUGGUUAAUAAAUACGAAAAUUAAAUUUAAAUAUAGCUGUCUGAUUUUUAAUAAAUAUAUGAUUUUAAAUUUAUAACUAUUACUAAAAUAAAAAAAAUUAUGGACCCUCUAAAAUUUCGGACCCUGUUCGACCGCUCCACUUACACGUGCUAAAAGACAGCCCUGUACUUAGGGAUCGAAUCCGCAAGGAGCUAGGGCACACAAAAGAUCUUAAACAGUUUAUGAUUAAGCUAAGUGAAUUAAGUAAAUUGUAAAUAGCAGUGGUGAACAAGGCAGUUAUACAGUUGAUUGGAUUGAGGUUUGUAAACAAUUAUGAGAAAAUGUUAGACUUAGGGUUUCUAUUCAUGUAAUCAUGAUUAAAAUAGUAUAGAAGCUAGAGUAGUUUAUUGGAUAUUCUAGAACUCAAACAAAGUAAUAUUCAAUCAACUUCCGUUUGUUUAGAAUAUCUGUUGUCUAGAUCUCAGAUCUCAACUGUCGUUUCUUGAUCUGGAGAAAGUGUCGAUCGAUAUUAACAAUUGAUAAUCUAUCGGUACACCUUUCAGAUCGUCGAUCGAUACACCUAUAGGGUUGUCGAUCGAUGAUCCUUCCCGCAAGCACCGAGUGGGUUUGACUUAUGUUCACUAGGUUUAACUAAAUCAGCUGUCGCUUGUUUCUAGUAAUCCUAGCACAAUGUGAAUUAAUUCAGGUAACAGACCAUGCUUCCGCUUGCGCCUAAUAUUCCUAAUAUCAUGGUUCUAGUUAGCUAUUUUAGAACAUAAGCAAUAGGAGCAAUUCAAUUGAUGGAUAUCACAAACAACUCAUCAAUAUAUAUUUGGGGCUAAUCCUUCAUAAUCCUAUUUGAACCCUAAACCUAACAAUGUGAAUUACUCAGACAUAGCAAAACAAUUCAUAACAAUCAUAAUAAAAGAAUGCAUAAAUAGAUUAAGGUUAGAAAUAUUGGAGUUCCAAUACAAAUCUGUAAAGGAGUCUUGCAUCUUCUCUCCAAAUAUACUAAAAAUCUUUGUUGGGUAAAACUAGAGAAUAGAAAGCGUGUGUUGCCUAGAACAAUGGCAAAACACAUAAAUAUUAGGUUAAAAGUCAGCCAGGGGUAUUUUGUAAUUAUGUCUUGACUUGGGUUUUAAGCCGGCUAGGCUUUGCGCGCUUCACUGUCGAUCGACAGCACAGAGUGUGCAUCGAUCGAUGGUGAACUCUAAAUCUCGACCUCGAACUCGUUCGAUGCUCAGCUUCAAGCUUCCUCUAAUUUUAUCUCCAAAAUGUACCCAAUUCCCCACUUUUUGUCCAAAUCACCCAUGAACCUAUAAAAGUGCUAAAAGAACUCCAAAACAACAUAGAUAGUUCCUAAAACACAAAUAUCCAUGGCUGAAAGUGGGUAAAAUCCAUGAUAUAUCACACCCAGAGUUUCCUUUUUGCUAAGAGGUUUUGAAAACAACAGUGAUUCACACAAUUAAAGAACUCAUAUCACCACCUCUACAAUGUUGCAAGCCACAUCAAAUUAAUUCUAACUUCAGAGGUAUCCUAUAUACCAUAUCUUAGCUUAGCAACCAAAUCCAUCUAACCAGCAACUUACGUAAUAGCGUCUGACUCGCCCCUUUACUGUUCUCAUUUAAUACAUAUAUAAAAGGUGUAGGCUUUACCUUGGGAGUAUCGAUCAAAAGACACAUGGACUCUUACUCAAACAAGUUUAUGAACACACAGGUAGUCUUAUCUUAUCCAUUUCUUUCUUCUUUCUCUCUUUUUCUGAAUCUCAAUUCCAAUGAACAAUGAUGCUGAUACAGUCCAUCUUUAUUCACCUUCUUUUUUACUCUCUUUUUCUCUUUUUAAUUUAUUUUGACAAAGUGUAGGCGAACGGUGGGGUCAUCGGUAAUGUACCAACACCUCGCUUCCAGCGAUGUCUGAUCAUUCCUUUCAACAAGAAUAGUGGGGUCAUAACUAAUGUACCUACCCCUCUGCAUCUCAGGAAAUCAUCUCAAUCAUUUCUUUAUAUAGAUGCCGAAGAGACUGAGAGAAGAGAAUAAGAAACACAUAGACUUUUACUGAAGUGAUCCUUGGUAAGAUGAUGACGUCCUUGAAUGCUCUCCAACGAUUGUGAUGAUGAAAUAAGCAGUGGAUUGAGAUGAUACUUCUAAGAGUUGUGGAAUGGCUUCUAAACUAUCUGAGUUUCCUUGUAGAUGUUGAAACGAGAUCAGAACAUGGACAAGACAAACAAUGAUCAUACAAGAUUCAGAGAGAUAUUUUUAUUAGAAAAGAGUUUGAUUUUUAUUGAGAGUUUUGACCAGAAUAUAAAGAAAAGAAGUCUGUACAUGCACAGCUUUUUGGAAACACACUAGAUAAUUAAAACAAAUAAAGACUAAAGAAGACUGUACAUGCACAGCUUCUUGGAAACACACAAAACAAUUAAAACAAAUAAAAACUAAAGUUCAAAUUUAAAAGAUAAGCUCCCCUCUUAUUUCUGGACGAAAAUUAGACUAGAAAUGGGAUAGAAAUGGGGAUGGUUUCAUCAAGAGGCUUUUGUAUAAGUGCUGUGUCUAAGCCUCAUUAAAAAAAAUUGUUUGGAAAACCCAGUGGGACAAAACAAAACCAAGGAAAAGAGUGCAAGUCACAACAUUACCUCUCUUUGUUGAAUGUUUUAGACUACUUGAAUGACAACCAAUGAGGUUGGAUAAGCACACUCUAGACUGCCAUGGAUAGUCUGUAGACGUUGAUGAAGAGCUUGAUGGAACCUCGCCUGCUUGGACCUAGUCAUCGGACCAAGUGGAACGUUUAAAUCGUCAGAAUGGCAUCCACGGGGUUGCAUCCACUCAAUUGCAUCCACAUAAUCGUAUCCACAGGAUUGCUUCGAUUCAGUCGCAUCCACGAAGUUGUAUUCACAGGGUUGCAUCCAUUCUGUAGCAUCCACCGAGUCGCAUUCUUUGACUUUCUUAAGUUCUGGUACAAGCUGUUCUAUCUCCUUAGUUUCAUCAGUUCCUUUGCUUUCCAAGAUCUUAUCAUCCUCUCUCACUUGAGAAGGAUUUGACCUCAAAUCCGUUUCACCUGCAUGAUAAAGAACUAAAUCAGUAACAUUGAAACUUGAAUUUACAUUAUACUUACCUUGGAGGCCUCGUUGAUAGGCAUGGUUGCUGAUCCGUUUGGUUAUCCAUUCUCCUGAUGAAUUCCUCAUUUCUAGUUUAUACACAUCAUCAUAUAACAUGUUAGCACAUGAACAAUCCUGAUAGAGUAAUAGUAAUAGUCCAAAUCUGUUUUUGAUCAGUUUUGGCUUGUUUGUUGCAUCUGGAGGUGCUUCUUUGAUGAGGAUGAAGCAAAUGAAGUCUUGGUGCUUAUCCUGGUCCAAAUCAGGUGGUUUGAACCACUUCUCCUCCUCUUGCUUGCAGCUUCUUCUUUUAUGCUUCAAGGCUUUCAUGAAACUUACACUUUGUUCUUUUGACAAAAACACGUGCAUUAUAUCUGUGUAUUCAAUGAUAAAAGAAUUCUUGAGAUGUUCUAAACUCAAACCGUUCAGAAUAAACCAAGUGUAGGUUUACCUGAGUUGUAGAAUCAGUAAUUUGCAACCCUGAAUUGGUUUCAGCCUCACAUUGAUUCCUUGUGGAUAUAGGAAGGACUAAGAAUGUGGGAUAUGUUGUUUCAUAGCUUGAUUCCUUCUUUUCAAAAAGUGUAAACCUCAAAACAGUCUGACCUGUGACAACAGCAAGCAAAUAAGGUUUCAUGCGUUUCUUUGAGUCUAGAUAAUUACCUGGAGUUGGUUGUUUUGGAGUUUGCUGUAGACUAAGUUUAUCUUGUGGUUUCUCCUUGAUUUGAGAAGAAAACAUGAUUUCUUCUCCUGGUCCAUUAAUCACUUCACCAUUUCCUCUAGUGAAUUCUCCAUCUCCACUCCUGGUUUGAUAAUCUCUGCAAUGGUGCUGAAUUUGUUGCAAAUCUUGUGGCUUCCAUAUCUUGAUUUGGUCGAGAGGACUAUCUUCCAACUCCUUAUGGCCCAUGCUGAAUCUCUUACGAGCAGAGUGUUCAACAAGGCUGAUAAGUAUGCUGACAUAUGCUCCAGGUCUCCAUCAUCCAACCCAAUCACAUAUAAUCGUCUCUUCGAAUUGAUCCAAACCGACAUGUUUUGCCAAACUGGUAAUAACUUGAUGAUCAUGUGGCCCUUUACUGCGUUGUCUGGUUUGUUGGAUCCAUGACUGAGUUGGCAACAUUCUCCAAUUAGUUUUAUAGUGAAAUCUUGCUGAGCUGAGACAUGGAAAAACUUUUCACUAGAGGGCGAUAAAUCAACAAAAUCAAAUGUAGUUGCAGCUGAUUCCUUCUCAAUCAUUUUGAUCUUGUUGCUCUAAGCCCAAUUUGUGUCUUGAAAGCUCCAUUGCUCUAGUCUUGUUCCAAACAAUAGGACUGAACAGAAAAGUACCAAAGAAUGUCUUUUGGAAACCAUAUGGAUCAAAGACAAAUAGAUGCUCCAAUCCAAUAUUUGUUUGUGGUUCUUUUGGUUCCACCUUUUCUAUCAUAUCACGUCUGGCAAGAACCAUGUCAUCCAUCAGUGGUUGAUCAUCUUUCUGUCUUUGGUGAUUGUUGGAAUCUCGGUUCUAUUUUCUUGAAUUUGUGCUGCGGAUUUCGGUUCUGUAAUUUUGAGUUCUGAUACAACAAUGACUUGUUCUUGGUUCUGUUCUUCUAAGGAAGGACGUGUUUCUUUGGUUUUUCUUAGUUGUUCCUCCACAUCAUUAAACGCUUGCAAAAGUGCUUUCCUUAUACUCUUCUCACUGAAAGAGGUUUACGUUUUGCUUGAUGAAACAAUUUCAGUGGGUGGACAUGAUCUCAGGCGGUAUUGUUGUUUCUGAUCCCAGAUUGAAGGGUAUAGCUUUGUCUCAGACUGUUUGUUUGGUUCAGUACUCCACUUGUAUCGUUCAUACCUUCUCGUCUGUUGAGUUUCAUUCAUAAUAACAAAGCUGUUCUGCCUCAAACAAGUUUUUUUCUUUUCUUAUUCUUCUCUGCCUUUGAUUCAUGGCUUGAUGUAACUCCUGGCGAAACGAAUCAAUUCUGGAGUCCAUCAUUUUCUCCAUUUUGACAGUCAUAGCUUCAAGUAACAGUUGAUCCAUUCCAUUGUUUCGAUUGCUUUCUUCUCCCAUGAUUCCUGUUGAUUUUCCAAACACAAAACCAGUAAAAGACAUAACAGAAACAUAAUAUAACAGAAAGUUACGGAAUUGAAUCUGGAAUAAUCAGAUUUCCAAUUUUCAAUAAGAACCCUAAUUUUUUUCUUUGCAAUUUUGUGAAUCAAGUUCAGUUAUUUAGAAAUUUCAACACUUUUUCUAGGUAGAUCUGAUCUUAAUAAACACGAAUCUCACAAGAUCUAAACUUUAGAACAGAUCAGAUAACAUAAUACGAACAGUCUAAAAGUUGCAGAACUGGAAAAACACAACCUGAUGAUGGAGAUCUAAUCUGAUACCACUUGAAGUGAUACUGGGUAAGAUGAUCGCAAACCUGAAUGCUCUCCAACGAUUGUGAUAAUCAAAUAAGCAGUGGACUGAGAUUAUACUUCUAAGAGUUGCGGAAGGACUCCUAGACUAUCUGAGUUUGCUUGUAGAUGUUGAAAUGAGCUCAGAACAUGAACAAGACAAACAAUGAUAAAACAAGAUUCGGAGAGAACUUUUAUUAGAAAAGAGUUUGAUUUUAAUUGAGAUUUUUGACCAGAAUAUAAAGAAAAGAAGUUUGUACAUGCACAACUUCUUGGAAACACAUAAGAUAAUUAAAACUAAUAAAGACUAAAGAAGACUGUACAUUAACAACUUCUUGGAAACACAUAAAACAAUUAAAGCAAAAAAAAAGACUAAAGUUCAAAUUUAAAAGAUAAGCUCCCCUCCUUAUUUCUGGACGAAAAUUAGACUAGAAAUGGGCUAGAAAUGGGCAUGGUUUCAUCAAGAGGGUUUUGUAUAAGUGUUGUGUCCAAGCCUCAUUAAAAACAUUGUUUGGAAAACCCAGUGGGAUUAAACCCAACCAAGGAAAAGAGUGCAAGUCACAACACCUCUCUUUGUUGAAUGUCUUAGACGACUUGAAAGACAACCAAUGAUGUUGGAUAAGCACACUCUAGACUGCCAUGGAUAGUGUGUAGACGUUGAUGAAGAGCUUGAUGGAACCUCGCCUGCUUGGACCUAGUCAUCGGACCAAGUGGAACGUUUAAAUCGUCAGAAUGGCAUCCACGGGGUUGCAUCCACUCAAUUGCAUCCUGAUAUCACUCAAAUUACCCUAAGGAGUGAAUUAUUCUCUCAAAUAAGAGAUUCGUAUGUAGUACUUAGGGAUCGAAUCCACAUAGACUCUAGGAUUUCACAAUAGAUUAUGGUCUUGAAAUAAAUCUAGAUUAAAUGGUUUUAAAGCAGUAAAUGGAGUGGUGAGCAAGUAUAUUGCUCGAUUGAUUUGUUUUGAGGUUGUUAACAGUUGGGAGAAGUAGCUAGAUUCAAGUAUAUUCUCAGGUAUGAUAAGUAAAACUUAAUUUGGGUUUUUAGGGGUUUAUUGAUGUUAAUCAUUCUUGAAUUCAAACUUUAGAUAUAAUCAAUCUGAUUAUCUAAUCUGGAUCAACUUUUGUAUGUUAAUCAUGAGAAAGUGUCGAUCGAUAAUUCGUUGUGAAUAUCGAUCGAUACACCUUUCAAAAUAUCGAUCGACAGGGCUAUCACAGCGUCGAUCAAUACCUCUUCCAGAAAGCUUUACGGAUGGGUUUGACCUAAAUUCUCUAACUCACUAGACCAACUCUCGUCCGUAUCUAGUCAGUUAGAUCAUAUUAGUUAUUUUCAGAUAUUGAGUCAAGCAAUGGCUUGAUCCCAAUUAAUCCUAAGAUCUAAGUUUAAAGGGCGAUCAAUCCUAAACUUAGCUUUAAGGAUAACUAGAUGAAAGAAUUAUAUUUCUAAACACCCUAACAAUUAUUGUUGUCAGUAAUACAUUCAUCAACGUAUUGAGAAACCAAAAUCUAACAAUAAGGACUACUCGGACAUAUUCAUGGAACACAUGGUUAUGAUGGUAUGAAUAAUACUUAUUAAAAAUGAGUAAAUAGAGUAAGCAACAAAUGAAUAAAAGCAAAGGAGUUAAAGAUCUUCUCUGUUUUGCAGUGUUGAUCUAUCUCUCCAAUUCUAAGCUCUCCCCUUUCAAUGGUGGCUUCUUGCUUCCUCAAGCUAUGUCUAAAAAAAGUCUCUAGGCAAGCCUGUCUCUAAAAUAAUGCAAAACCCUAAUAAAUAGCCUAACGGGUGGCCAAGGACUUAAAAUGUAAUUAUUGAAACUUUUGUGAAACUUUAAUUCUUCUAAUUUGUCAUUAAUUCUCGGGUGGCUUCGAUGUCGAUCGAUAUGAAGAGCUCAUCAACGAUCAAAAUUCCUUGGUCACUAUCGGUCGAUAUUCUGACAAAUAGUCGACCAUCCAGCAAAGCUCAGAAAGUCUCCAAAUACAUCAUUUUCUUCCAGAUAUUACCUGAACUUGUAAUUACACUAAAUCGACUCUAUAUAGUAAUAAUAUAUCUUAAAACACUCAUAACUCAGGGUUAAAAAUGGGUAAAAUCCAUGGUCUAUCACAUCCACUGGAUUGCUUCGAUUCAGUCGCAUCCACAUAGUUGUAUUCACGGGGUUGCACCAAUUCUGUAGCAUCCAAUGAGUCGCAUUCUUUGACUUUCUUAAGUUCUGGUACAAGCUGUUCUAUCUCCUUAGUUUCAACAGUUCCUUUGCUUUCCAAGAUCACAUCAUCCUCUCCCACUUGAGAAGGAUUUGACCUCAAAUCCGUUUCAUCUGCAUGAUAAAGAACUAGAUCAGUAACAUUGAAGCUUGAACUUACAUUAUACUUACCUUGGAGGCCUCGUUGAAAGGCAUGGUUGCUGAUCCGUUUGGUUAUCCUUUCUCCUGAUGAAUUCCUCAUUUCUGGUUUAUACACAUCAUCAUACAACAUGUUAGCACAUGAACAAUCCUCAUAGAGUAAUGGAAAUAGUCCAAAUCUGUUUUUGAUCAGUUUUGGCUUGUUUGUUGCAUCUAGAGGUGCUUCUUUGAUGAGGAUGAAGCAAGUGACGUCUUGGUUCUUAUCCUGGUCAAAAUCAGGUGGCUUGAACAGCUUCUACUCCUCUUGGUUGCAGCUUCUUCUUUUAUGCUUCAAGGCUUUCAUGAAACUUAUACUUUGUUCUUUUGACAAAAACAAGUGCAUUAUAUAUGUGUAUUCAAUGAUAAAAGAAUUCUUGAAAACAUGAUUACUUACCUUAAAAUUCUCACCUGAUCGCCAUUUAUAGGAUUGAUAUGUUCUAACCUCAAACCGUUCAGAAUAAAGCAAGUGUAGGUUUACCUGAGUUGUAGAAUCAGUAAUUUGCAACCCUGAAUUGGUUCAGCCUCAAACUGAUUCGUUGUGGACGUAGGAAAGACUAAGAAUGUGGGACAAGUUUUUUCAUAGCUUGGUUCCUUCUUUUCAAAAAGUGUAAACCUCAAAACAGUCUGACCUGUGACAACAGCAAGCAAAUCAGGUUUCAUGCGUUUCUUUGAGUCUAGAUAAUUACCUUGAGUUGGUUGUUUUGGAAUUUUCUUUAGACUAAGUUUAUCUCGUGGUCUCUCCUUGAUUUGAGAAGAAAACACGAUUUCUUCUCCUGCUCCAGUAAUCACUUCUCCAUUCCUCUAGUGAAUUCUCCAUCUCCACUCCUGGUUUGAUAAUCUCUGCAAUGGUGCUGAAAUUGUUGCAAAUCUGGUGGCUUCCAUAGCUUGAUUUGGUCGAGAGGACUAUCUUCCAACUCCUUAUGAGCUGAUUCUCUUAUGAGCAGAGUGUUCACCAAGGCUGAUAAGUAUGCUGACAUAUGCUCCAGGUCUCCAUUAUCCAACCCAAUCACAUAUAAUCGUCUCUUGGAAUUGAUCCAAACCGACAUGUUUUGCCAAACUGGUAAUAACUUGAUGAUCACGUGGCCCUUUACUACGUUUUCUGUUUUUUUGGAUCAAUGACUGAGUUGGCAACAUUCUCCAAUUGGUUUUAUAGUGAAACUCUUGCUGAGGUGAGACGUGGAAAACGUUUCAUCAGAGGGCGAGAAAUCAACAAAAUCAAAUGUAGUUGCAGCUGAUUCCUUCUCAAUCAUUUUUAUCUUGUUUCUGUGACUCCCCAACUCUCCCCCAGGCUCUAAUACAACAUACUCCAAGCCCAAUUCGUGUCUUGAAACCUCCAUUGCUCUAGUCUUAUGCCAAACAAAAGGACUGAACAGAAAAGUACCAAAGAAUGUCUUUUGGAAACCAUAUGGAUCAAAGACAAAAAGAUGCUCCAAUCCACUAUCUGUUUGUGGUUCCUUUGGUUCCUACUUUUCUAUCAUGUCUGGCAAGAACCAGGUCAUCCAUCACUGGUUGAUCAUCUUUCUGGCUGGUUACUGUUGUAUCUCGGUUUGAUCUUCUUGAAUUUGUGCUGCGGAUUUCGGUUCUGUAAUUUUGAGUUCCGAGACAACAAUGACUUGUUCUUGGUUUUGUUCUUCUAAGAAAGGACGUGUUUCUUUGGUCUUUCUUAGUUGUUCCUCCACAUCAUUAAAUGCUUUCAAAAGUGCUUUCUUUAUACUCUUCUCACUGAAACAAUUUGAUGUUUUGCUUGAUGAGACAAUUUCAGUGGGUGGACAUGAUCUCAGGCGGCAUUGUUGUUUCUGAUCCAAGAUUGAAGGGUAUAGCUUUGUCUCAGACUGCUUGUUUUGUUCAGUACUCCACUUGUCUCGUUAAUACCUUCUCGGCUGUCGAGUUUCAUUAAUAAUAACAAAGUUUUUCUUUUCUUUUUCUUCUCUGCCUUUGAUUCAUGGCUUGAUGUAACUCCUGGCAAAAUGAAUCAAUUUUGGAGUCCACAAUUUUCUCCAUUUUGAGAGUCCUAGCUUCAAGUAACGGUUGAUCCAUUCCAUUGUUCGGAUUGCUCUCUUCUCCCAUGGUUCCUGUUGAUUUUCCAAACACAAAACGAGUAAAAGACAUCACAGAAACAAAAUAUAACAUAAAGUAACAGAAUUGAAUCUGGAAUAGUCGGAUUUCCAAUUUUCAAUAAGAACCCUAAUUUUUUUCUCUGCAAUUUUGUGAAUCAAGUUCAGUUAUUUAGAAAUUUCAACACUUGUUCAAGGUAGAUCUGAUCUUAAUAAACACGAAUCUCACAAGAUCUAAACUUUAGAACAGAUCAGAUAACAUAAUACGAAAAAUCUAAAAGUUGCAGAACUGGGAAAACACAACCUGAUGAUGGAGAUCUGCUCUGAUACCACUUGAAAUGAUCAACGGUAAGAUGAUCACGUCCCUGAAUGCUCUCCGACGAUUGUGAUGAUGAAAUAAGCAGUGGAUUGAGAUGAUACUUCUAAGAGUUGCGGAAUGACUCCUAGACUAUCUGAGUUUGCUUGUAGAUGUUGAAACGAGAUCAGAACAUGAACAAGACAAACAAUGAUCAAACAAGAUUCAGAGAUAAUUUUUAUUAGAAAAGAGUUUGAUUUUUAUUGAGAUUUUUGACCAGAUAUAAAGAAAAGAAGUCUGUACAUGCACACUUUCUUGGAAACACACAAGAUAAUUAAAACUAAUAAAGACUAAAGAAGACGGUACAUGCACAACUUCUUGGAAACACACAAAACAAUUAAAGCAAAUAAAGACUAAAGCUCAAAUUUAAAAGAUAAGCUCCCCUCCUUAUUUCUGGACGAAAAUUAGACUAGAAAUGGGCUAGAAAUUGGUAUGGUUUCAUCAAGAGGGUUUUGUAUAAGUGUUGUGUCCAAGCCUCAUUAAAUACAUUGUUUGAAAAACCUAGUGGGACAAAACCAAACCAAGGAAAAGAGUGCAAGUCACAACACCUUUCUUUGUUGAAUGUCUUAGACAACCAAUGAGGUUGAAUAAGAACACUCUAGAGCUUGAUGGAACCUCGCCUGCUUGGACCUAGUGAUCGGACCAAGUGGAACAUUUAAAUCGUCAGAAUGGCAUCCACGGGGUUGCAUCCACUCAAUUGCAUCCACAUAAUCGUAUCCACCAGAUUGCUUCGAUUAUGUCGCAUCCACAAAGUUGUAUUCACGGGAUUUCAUCCAUUCUGUAGCAUCCACCGAGUCGCAUUCUUUGACUUUCUUAAGUUCUGGUACAAGCUGUUCUAUCUCCUUAGUUUCAUCAGUUCCUUUGCUUGCCAAAAUCACAUCCUCUCCCACUUGAGAAGGAUUUGACCUCAAAUCCGUUUCAUCUGCAUGAUAAAGAACUAGAUCAGUAACAUUGAAGCUUGAACUUACAUUAUACUUACCUUGGAGGCCUCGUUGAUAGGCAUUGUUGCUGAUCCGUUUGGUUAUCCUUUCUCCUGAUGAAUUCCUCAUUUAUGGUUUAUACACAUUAUCAUAUAACAUGUUAGCACAUGAACAAUCCUCAUAGAGUAAUAGAAAUAGUCCAAAUCUGUUUUUGAUCAGUUUUUGGAUUGUUUGUUGCAUUGCUUCUUUGAUGACGAUGAAGAAAGUGACGUCUUGGUGCUUAUCCUGGUCCAAAUCAGGUGGUUUGAACCGCUUCUCCUCCUCUUGCUUGCAUCUUCUUCUUUUAUGCUUCAAGGCUUUCAUGAAACUUAUACUUUGUUCUUUUGACAAAAACAAGUGCAUUAUAUCUGUGUAUUCAAUGAUAAAAGAAUUCUUGAAAAACUUGAUUACUUACCUUAGCAUUCUCACCUGGUCGCCAUGUCUGAAACAGUUCAGAAUAAAGCAAGUGUAGGUUUACCAGAGUUGUAGAAUCAGUAAUUUGCAACCCUGAAUUGGUUUCAUCCUCAAACUGAUUCCUUGUGGAUGUAGGAAGGACUAAGAAUGUGGGACAAGUUGUUUCAUAGCUUGACUCCUUCUUUUCAAAAAGUGUAAACGUCAAAACAGUCUGACCUGUGACAACAGCAAGCAAAUCAGGUUUCAUGCGUUUCUUUGAGUCUAGAUAAUUACCUUGAGUUGGUUGUUUUGGAGUUUGCUGUAGACUAAGUUUAUCUCGUGGUCUCUCCUUGAUUUGAGAAGAAAACAUGAUUUCUUAUCCUGGUCCAUUAAUCACUUCACCAUUUCCUCUAGUGAAUUCUCCAUCCCCACUCCUGGUUUGAUAAUCUCUACAAUUGUGCUGAAUUUGUUGCAAAUCUGGUGGCUUCCAUAGCUUUAUUUGGUCGAAUGGACUAUCUUCCGACUCCAUAGGGCCCAAGCCGAUUCUCUUACGAGCAGAGUGUUCAACAAGGAUGAUAAGUAUGCUGACAUAUUUUCCAGGUCUCCAUCGUCCAACCCAAUCACAUAUAAUCGUCUCUUGGAAGUGAUCCAAACCGACAUGUUUUGCCAAACAUGUAAUAACUUGAUGAUCAGGUGGCCCUUUACUACGUUGUCUGGUUUGUUGGAUCCAUGACUGAGUUGGAAACAUUCUCCAAUUGGUUUUAUAGUGAAACUCUUGCUGAGCUGAGACGUAGAAAAACUUUUCAUCAGAGGGCGAGAAAUCAACAAAAUCAAAUGUAGUUGCAGCUGAUUCCUUCUCAAUCAUUUUUAUCUUGUUCCUGUGACUCCCCAACUCUCCCCCAGGCUCAAAUACAACAUAAUCCAAGCCCAGUUCGUGUCUUGAAAGCUCCAUUGCUCUAGUCUUGUUCCAAACAAAAGGACUGAACAGAAAAGUACCAAAGAAUGUCUUUUAGAAACCAUAUGGAUCAAAUAUAAAAAGAUGCUCCAGUCCACUAUCUGUUUGUGGUUCCUUUGGUUCCUCCUUUUCUAUCAUGUUUGGCAAGAACCAGGUCAUCUAUCACUGGUUGUUCAUCUUUUCGUCUGGUUAUUGUUGUAUCUCGGUUUGAUCUUCUUGAAUUUGUGCUGCGGAAUUCGGUUCUUUAAUUUUGAGUUCUGAGACAACAAUGACUUGUUAUUGGUUCUGUUCUUCUAAGAAAGGACUUGUUUCUUUGGUCUUUCUUAGUUGUUCAUCCACAUCAUUAAACGCUUGCAAAAGUGCUUUAUGUUAGGGGAUUUUUGUGUAGGCCCUUCAUGAGUACUACGGAACGAUGGACAAGCCGAUAAAUCGAAUAUACUUGAGGACGUUUGUAGGUAUUUUUUGGGGAUAUGAAGUUAAUAAUAAAGAGAAAGGCUUGAAGAGACGUUUUAUUAGAUAGAACAGCAAGAAUAAACGGGGUUACAAGGUAUUGAAGAAGAACCCUAAUUCUAGCCAUCUAAUUCUAGUCUCUAAGCCUUGGAGAAGUCGAUCCCCUGCUUUAGGGUUUUAGUAGCUCUUAUAUAGUCGUCUAGGAGUCGGUUUCAUUUGGUUUAACUCUUCUAUAUUCGGAAAAUGGAAGGUUCUCCUUGUCGGAAGUUUUCCAUUUCUUGGUAGGAAGCUCGGUUCCAGGGACCGAGCUCGGGAUUCCUUCUAGCGGGGACCUAGAGCGUUCCCUUAUCGGGUACCCGAGGGUCUGGGUCCUCCCUGGAGGCUGGAGGAAAUGAUACCGGAGAAUUUUUCCCCAACAGUUUGCCCCUUAUUUCUCGAUUUCGUCAUCGAAGUCGGGGAAUAACCUGUGCACUCAAGUGAACCGGGGUUGCUCAUUCUCAGCAGGCUCCCCCUAGGCAGGACCCCGUCCCAUUGGUAUUGCUAGCCUGGGUUCCACUCAAGCCGGAACUCAUUCUGAACCCAGGUGAGGAUCGGUUCCUUCGUGUUUGACCGAAGUCUAGUAGUAGUUUCUUCAAUCUUCUGGAGAUGAUGAGGCUGGAGCUUUGAAAUUUAAACCACGUGCGGGCUGUAAUGAGUUCUUGCCAGGGGGACUCUGGGGCCUCUGAGACUAGGAUCCGUUGAUUUGAGGAAAAAGGUGUAAACAUUGCUUCCCCUAGCGCAUUUCUUUUUUCCAGACCGGCCGUUUCUUUCAUAAAGGAUUCUUCUGAAGAUUUGGAAAUAUCCAAUUUCCUUUUCUCUGGCUUCAAAAAGGAAAGAAUCAGGCAUAUAUUUAGGGUGCCCGAUGCGUAGAGUUUCAUUCAUCCCUUAUUCAAGAAGAUGAACUCUGAUCUUCCUGCUUCACUCGUGGGUGGCCGCGUAAGGCCUUGCCGCCUGUUUGCUGAUCCUUUCUCCUCCCUUGUUGCUUCUUUCGGAGAAGUUUCUGAAAAUGAUAGCGAGGUGAUCCCAAUGGCGCCUUUGAAGCAACAUGAUUCCCUCAUUCUCGACGAUGGCCUGCGUUCUGAAAUUCAGGAGGGAGGUCUGAAGGUGAUACAGAGAAAAUACGGGAUCAAUUCUUCGGUGCAGAUGAGGAGUUCUUUGGAGUUUGAGCGCGCUCCUGAUGGGGGGCUGGGCGAGAUAGCUAUUUUUGAGGUGUAUCUGAUAGCAGGUUUCCGGGGGAUCGUCCUUUCGCUCGUGGAUGAAGUAUCAUCGUUUUUGGGGUAGUGUCCUUCUCAGCUCACUCCUUUAUCCUGGAAGACUUUAAUGUCGAUCCAAGUACUCGGGGAGCUUUAUGGCCUUGAUUCUGGGGUACACGAAGUUCUAUACUCCUACUACUUUGCCCCAUUGACAGUCAUGCCUGGGUUCUGUUGGGGAAAAAUAUUCCAUGAAGAGAUUACUCCAGCUUCCGGGUCCCUGCCUCUGGGUCCCGGGUCCCUGUCCCCGAGUCUGGGACCUUCCUCCAUCUUCCAGGCCAAGUGAUUUCUCAUGCCUUAAGAUAAAUGGAAAUCUUCCAUUUAUCAGGUAACCAGCUUGGGCAAGAAGGAUUCUUCUUAAAUCUAAGAGAAAGAGGAAGUAUUCCAAUACAUACGACCUCCCUUAAGAAAAUGGAAAUAUUCUACUAUCUAAAGAUAUAAUGAAUAUUUCCAAAUCCUAAGAAAGGAGGCACGACCUCUUCUAUAAAUAUAGGUUUCUAAACCUAAAGAGGGGGGGGGGGGGUCGAAGACGUCUAUAAUCAGAGCUCACCAAUUCUAUAGCCGCCAAUGCAAGAUUCUACAUAGAAGACCUUCUUCUCGGACAAGCCGAGGAGAGGCUGAUCCCGGUGGUUACUAUCGACCAGGGGAAGAUAUAUGCUCCCUGCAGCACGUCUACAACUCUACAUAGUGGCCCAUGCCUUGAUCUCCAGCACACCGACAGGGACACCCCUUGCUCAUCAAAGCAUAUCGAAGCUCCAUGCUCCCUGUAGCAUAUCGACUACCCCACCAUCUGUUCUGGCCAUGUGCCCCAUAGAACAGAUGACUCCUACCAACUACAGAGCUACGUGCUCCUUAGGCCACAUGCCCAUUAGGCUACGUGCCCACUUAGGCUCCGCGCCUCCACCAAUACAUGAACUACAAACAGCUUGAUCCCUCAUUGAAGGGUACGUAGGCAAUCCCCCCUGAAGGAUGCAGCUAUACAUGAACUACGAAUGGCUUGAUCCCUCACUGAAGGGUACGUAGGCAAUCCCCCCUGAAGGAUGAAGCUAUAAAUCCCAAACAUCUUCCUCGGUUCCUCAAGGACCAACCUUGGCAACCGGAAACCUCAACUACAUAUCAGGAGGCACCCAGGGACCGACCCUAGAGUCGGGACCAUCAAUUGCAGAACCAGAAGACCCUACGAUCUUCACUACAGACAGGCGGUUCCUAUCCAACAACCGACCUUUCUUAUUUCUACUAAGGCACUGAUGACAUAUACCAGCCCAUACCCGUAUGGCACUACCCUCAGAGCAGGAUCUCCUGGCUUAUCCACGACCGAAGCAGGAGAAAGUACCACGAUGACCAGUCUCCUUCUUCCUAUCAUUCCGUAGUCUGAGCACGAAUCACUUGUACACAAAAAUCCCCUAACAGUUUGUCUCUAGAAGGAGGGGCAGUCAUAUACUACGUGAUGAUGGUGAUAGGCGGAAGAGACAUUACAUCCAUUCGUUCAGAAUAUUUCAACCCCAGCCAUCUAGGGGCAAGAAACGACAUAUUCUCACCAGAUCUAAACCUCACACAGCUAGAAAGACCUCUUCAAGGGAGGAUAACAAAACGCUAAACAGAAGUAACCAGAUCCAACACAGGGAUUACCAACUGGUUCCUACUGGUUCCUGUUGGUUCUGGGUCCAAUCCUCAGAUCAAACUUUAUGCAGUCCCUAGUUCCUGCUGGUUCCGGGUCCUAUCCUCAGAUCAAACUUUCUGCAGUUCCUAGUUCCUGUUGGAACCGAAAUUCACACUGUUGAUUUCCAUUUAAAUUAGGAAAGUUAGGAAAACCCUAAUUUCCCAGAGGUCCCGGAUAUCUGUUAAACCACACGCAAGCAAUCAGAACACGCAAGUAAAGACAAAAAGAAAUAAGAAAUCGUAAAAGUGAGCAAAAGGAGUUUUAUUUCGAAUUCGCGUAUGAGCGUUACAAAAAGGUAGAAGCCUCAGCUAUGAGAGCUGUCGGCGAGAUUCCUAGUUCUAAGAACCUAAGACUGCAAAACCUAGUUGAGUCGCAGCUCGAAAUAACAAAAACAGAAAGUUGCCUAAUUGCUCUAAUUGCUAAGUUUGCUCUCCAAAAUUCUCUCCCCCAUGCCUCUGACCUAGGACUCCUUAUAUACUUGCUCCUAGGUCGGUUUACGCUUUUCCCCUUCUGCCCUUAAGCCGCCAUAGCAUAAAAAUGGAGAUAUUCCAUUUUUCCGAUCUUCGUAAUUAUCUUCAAAAUUUCGUAUUUAUCUGCGAAAACUUGACAUUUAUCUUUCCUUGCGAACCAAGCGUAAACCGACCCACGGUUUACGGGCUGCUGGUUAAGAAAUCGCAAGGUGGGCUUUGAGUCAUGUCUUAGGUCCCUUUGGGCCGUCUUUCGACUUGAAGUGUUUAUUACGACUUCUUUCAAUAAAAACGAACUUUCCGCGGUUUUUAUCGUAAAGUUUGAUUGAUGACUUCGAAUGGCGGAAAACAUGAAAUGGGUUCGCUACGGUCUUCGGGAGAUUGCAUCGAAGAGUAGACGAAAAUGCACGUUUCGUGUCGUAUCGACGUUUCGGAAGAGCUCGGUCGCUACGUAGCGACCGAACGGAACGCACGCUCGGUCGCUACCGAACGGGACGUGCGCUCGGUCGCUACGUAGCGACCGAGCUUGGCUCGGGCUUGGUCGCUAUGUAAUGACCGAGCUUGGCUCGAGCUCGGUCGCUGCAUUGUUGGGGUCAAAAUCGGUCACGACAGAAUCGAUGUCCGAAAGUCCUCAGAAAAACCAAAUCUCGGUCAAAACUUCAAAAGCCGAGAAAACGAAUAUCUUACCCCAGGUGCUUGUGUGGUUGGAGAUGUAUGACCUUUGAUUCGGAUGACUUGUAAGACUUUCUUCUUCUGCUUUAUGAAGAUGAGACGUUGCCCCCAUGGUGGGGAUAGGCCGGAGUUAGCCGAAAGUUUGAUGGAGAAGCCGGGAACAUCGGCAUAAAGGGUGAUGCUUCUGAUCAUACCCCAGGUGCUUGUGUGGCUUCUGUAGCUAUACUCGGCCUCAGCUCAGGCAGGGCUAUCUGGUUCCACUAAUCGUGUGGAGGAGUGUAUGGGUCAGUAUCCAGGAAUUCUGAGAGGGAGAAUCUUGGCGAGGCUAAGGAUCAGGAGGACGAAGAGGUUGAAUAAGACUCGGAGGCCGAAACUGAGGAUCCUCAUGCUUGAUUCUACUGGCCUUGCUUGUGCCUCUUGAGAUUGUAAAGGCUGUAAUUGACUUUCAGGAGGGUCUCCGUGCCGGUUUCCUUGCUGCGUUUAUCAUACUUGAUGCUCCUUUGGUGUUGAUAUUGUAGUUGUAGCUUCUUGCCUCGUCUCUGGAUCGUACCUUGACUUUUGGCAGAGGGGACAUUCAGCAUGUUCGUCUUGGUGCCGGGAGAUAACCUAGUUGAUUCUUGGUACCGGAGUAGAUCUCCUGGACAUGUUGUUUGCGCGAGCAGUAGUUUCCAUGCCAAAUAAAGAAGGUGGAAACAUUGGUUGAACUCAGCCAUUGAUCCUUGGCCGCUGUCAACUAUGUAGUACUGCAAUCUGCCCCUCGGAGGUAAGCCACCAUCAAUGCUGGGAUGACCUUGCGUCGUGCUUUCAUGGAACCCAGAGGAUCCUAGGCAUGCUCUCCCAAAAUCUGGAGGUUUAGAGAUACAUCUUUCUGAAACCCAUAGGUUCGAGGAUGUGAUCGGAGGUUGUAUAGACUUUCAUCCAGGAACCCGGAGGCUGGAUGGACUUUAGUCAAGGAACCCGUUGCUUGCAUGGACCUUAGUCCAGGAACCCUUAGGUUAUAAGGAUUUUUGUCUGGGAACCUGAUGGUUGUGUGGACCUUCAGGGGGACCUUCCCGUAUAUCUUUUCGACUUGAAGUCGUCUUCGUCGGGUAGACUCUCGUUGACUGCUAGGUAGGCUUUUUGGAGCAGUGUCUACCUUUGCGUCGUCUAGCUAUCCUUUGGGAAGUCUUAAAGACGGAACAAGAUGCGUUAGACUCGUGAACCUGGAGUAUAGGGAUGCUUCACAUUCCACCUUCAGUAGAUAGGUUACUCGUGAUUUUUUUCCGUAGAGAUAGCAGGUCUCUCUUAGGGACCCGAAGAUUUAAUGGAAGGAUCCUGGGAUCGAACGGAACUGUGGUACUGCUUCAGAAUCCGGAGAUGUUGUUGGGACCCAAAGGUCGUUUCUGGAGCCCGGAGGCUGCCCUAGACCCGGAGAUCGCCUUUAGAACCCAGAGGUUGAGUGAGGACCCAGAGGUCGAUGGGGAACCCGGAGGUUCCUCUAGACCAUGAGGUCGUAUUCAGGACCCUUUGGUCGUUUAGGGACCCGGAGGUCGAUUGGGAACCCGGAGGUUCCUCUAGACCCUGAGGUCGUAUUUAGGACCCUGAGGUCGUUUUGGGACCCAUAGGUCGAUUGGGAACCCGGAGGUUCCUUCAGACCCUGAGGUCGUAUUUAGGACUUUGAGGUCGUUUUGGGACCCGGAGGUCGAUUGGGAACCCAGAGAUUCCUCUAGACCCUGAGGUCGUAUUUAAGACCCUGAGGUCGUUUAGGGACCCGAAGGUCGAUUGGGAACCCGGAGGUUCCUCUAGACCCUGAGGUCGUAUUUAGGACCCUGAGGUUGUUUUGGGACCCGAAGGUCGAUUGGGAACCCGUAAGUCCCUCUAGACCCUGAGGUCGUAUUUAGGACCCUGAGGUCGUUUUAGGACCCGAAGGUCGAUUAGGAACACGAAGGUUCCUCUAGACCAUGAGGUCGUAUUUAGGACCCUGAGGUCGUUUUGGGACCCGGAGGUCGAUUGGUAACGCGGUGGUUCCUCUAGACCCUGAGGUCGUAUUUAGGACCCUGAGGUCGUUUUGGGACCCGGAGGUCGAUUGGGAACCCGAAGGUUCCUCUAGACCCUGAGGUCGUAUUUAGGACCCUGAGGUCGUUUUGAACCUGGAGGUUGCUUCUUGACUCGGAGGUCAUUUGGGAACCCAGAGGUUCCUUCAGACCCUGAGGUGGUUGUUGGGCCCGGGUGUUAUAAAGAACCUGGAGGUUUACCAUUUCCAGGUCCUGAAGAAAUUUGUUCAGGGCCCGGAGACUGCAUGGGGACCCGAAAAUUCUUAAUACCCCAGGGGUAUUUGAUUUGUAUUUUAAGGGACCGUAUUCUGCCAUCCUAGGUGAGACCACUACUGGUACCUGUUGGGAUUUCGCAUUCUACCGCUCGGAAGCUGGUCACUAUCGAGUUUCCGUGAUGGAUGUUGUUUUCUGCAGAAAGCUACUAUCAGACUUAGGGGUGCUGGUUAUGGAUUCGGAAACCCAAGUGCCAGGCUUUUUCUGCUUUCCACGUCUAGAGAAGCAGGAAUUUAUGUAUUUCUUCCUGCACGUGGCAGUACUUAUGCAAUAUGCAAACUCCAUAAAUUAACCCGGAGGUGUCACAGCACACUUGCUUAUGGGGCCCCGAUAUGGCUCUAAGCCUAUACCGGGGUUAUAGGUAGUUUUGACAAGCAUACUCAGGUUGAUCAGACCUAUUCCUGCCUUAAGUCUCAUACCCAUUGUUAUUGUCCCUCCCUGUAAAAACUAUGAGUUUGAAUACAGUACAUUGCAUUUGUGUAAGAGUUUGGAAAGUUUUUACCUUUCAUUUUUACCUGGUGUUAAGGAUAGAAGCAGAGGUCUAAGCCGGAGCUUCGUAGUCGGAGUCGGAGUCGGACCUUCUUCAUGCGGGUGUAUGGAGACCAGGGUCCUGCCCGGAAACAAGAGUAGCAUUUUCCAAAAUUAUUUACUCCCAAUAGUUUGCCCCUUAUCUUUCGAUUUCAUGGGUGAAGUCGGGAGAUAACAUGUGUAGUUUGGCCAACCGGAGUCGUUCCAUCUCAGCAUGCUUAUAAUGGACAUGACACUGCUUCCCUUUUUCUGAUUUCUUCUUAGGCCUGGACCGUGUUAGAACUUGGAGGAGAGCCGUUUUUCCAGAUGGUAGACCGGGGUCUUGAUGAGUACUUCCAGGUUCUGGACAUGUUCGAAGGUGAUCUUGUAGGAUUCGGGACCUUGAUCUUGUAUUUCAGUGGACGACAAGAUUUGCUUUCCGGUCUUGUAACCCACGUAGGUUUCUCUCAGUGAUGUAGGGUUCGACGGAGAUGGACUUGCUGAUGCUUCAGUGAGCUCUGACAUUCGUCAGCUGGAUACAUGGUCCUUAGACCUGUAAUAGGACCUUGGAGGAAUGGAGAUAUUUGUUGAGGUGUGGAGGCUACUUCUCUUGGAGGAACAGUAGAUUUAUCCUUGAGAACCUGGAGGCUCCUUGGAACUAGUGCUCUGCACAUGAGGAUCUGUAGAUAGUCUCUUUUUGUCGAUGUCGUUUAGUAACUUCUUCUGGCUGCUCUCUGCUCCCUCUUGGGUGAGCCACUCUCAGUGUUUCUUGGAUGUCACUAAAUGACCCGUCACUUUGUCUUGCAUCCUCCCUUUAGUGGGCAAGCCAACAAGAUUUUUUGACCCAUGUUUGCCCCUUGGGCUGAGUGUUAACUCGUUUGCCCCCUCUUUUCUCUCAGUUAUCUCUUUCAUAGAAGUUCAGGAAGGUACGUGCCUUGGACCUACUUCCUUGUAGACUGGCGUAUUCUUGACUCCUUCACUGGGAAUUUCAGUUUCUUACAACUUGUCGAGGGGUGCAGCCUUGGAGACUUGGAGAGGCACGGAUCUUGAGUUUCCCCGGGAGUUUGUAGGGGGUAAAUGACCUUAAUUUCCUUUAAAGGUAUAUCAGGGUUUGUUGCCGGGAAAAGCGGUAGUAAGGUGGUCGGACCUUGAUUUUUCGUGGAGCCAUUGGAUUUCACCUCCAUGUAAGGUGGGUAGCCGGAGACCCGGGACCUGGGAUCCUGGACCUGGGAUUUGGGACCUGGGAUCUGGAACCCGAAACCCAUAGAUGAAUAGUAGCUGGAACGUGUGUUCUCCGACUUCUUUUACUCUACUUUGCUCUAAUUGGACCCAAGAAUCAGAAGGCCAACAUGUCUUGAUGUAGAGUUCGCGUUUUUCUUAGGCUCCUUUGCGGGAUGCAGAGAAGCAGUCUUCACGACGCUUGGGCAGGGAUCCUUUCGCGGAACAACUCCAAUGGAAGUUGAUGAGUACUAAAAGGCGUUCUAUCCACCCAGCUAUUAGGCUUAUCUAGGAUUCCACUACCACUUAAAUUCUAAAGCCUAAAGAGAAAGGUGGUUCUACGGUUACCUCUUAGUGGUUGCCUGGUACGCCUGUGGUAUUUCCAGGAGCUCUUCUUCUGACUCCUCCUGUCUUUAGAAUUCGUCCAAGUUGUAAACCCGGGCGGAAAAUGUUGUCUUCCGCUUGAGAACCUUGCAUCUUUCCCAUAUGAGGCGGAAUUGUGAGUCUGGAAGUAUGGAUGUCGUCUAGGGCUUGCUUGGUGAUGGCUGUCCCCAUUGGGUCCGAAGGUUGUUGAGACUUGUUGUGUAGUGAAGAUCCAGAACUAACAGGAGUCAAUAAUUGUUGACAUCGGCUUCGGGUUCGGACCCGGAACCGACAGAUCCAAAGACUGCAGGGAUCUGAUCUGAGGAUAGGACCCGGAACCAACAGGAACCAGGGACUGCAGAAAGUCUGAUCUGAGGAUAGGACCCGGAACCAGAAGGAACUAGGGACUGCAGAAAUUCUGAUCUGAGGAUAGGACCCAGAACCAGCAGGAACCAGGGACUGUAGGAAGUCUGAUCUGAGGAUAGGAUCCAGAACCAGCAGGAACCAGUAGGAACCAGUUGGUAAUUCCUGUGUUGGAUCUUGUUACUUCUGUUUAACGUUGUGUUAGCCUCCCUUGAAGAGGUGUUUCCAGCUGUGUGAGGUUUAGAUCUGGUGAGAAUACGUCGUUUCUUGCCCCUAGAUGGCUGGGGUUGAAAUAUUCUGAAGGAAUUGAUGUAAUCUCUCUUCCGCCUAUCACCAUCAUCACAUAGUAUAUGACUGCCUCUCCUUCUAGCGCCAAACUGUUAGGGGAUUUUUGUGUAUAAGUGAUUUGUGCUCAGACUACGGAAUGAUAGGAAGAAGGAGACUGGUCGUCGCGGUACUUUCUCCUGCUUCGGUCGUGGAUAAGCCAGGAGAUCCUGCUAUGAGGGUAGUGCCAUACGGGUAUGGGCUGGUAUAUGUCGUCAGUGCCUUAGUAGCAGUAAGAAAGGUCGGUUGGACAGGAACCGCCUGUCUGUAGUGAAGAUCGUACGGUGUUCUGGGUCUGUAAUUGAUGGUCCCGGUUACCAAGGUUGGUCCUUGAGGAACCGAGGAAGAUGUUUGGGAUUUAUAGUUGCAUCCUUCAGGGAGGAUUGCCUACGUACCCUUCAAUGAGGGAUCAAGCCGUUCGUAGUUCAUGUAUUGGUGGAGGCGCGUAGCAUAAUGGGCACGUGGCCUAAGGAGCACGUAGCUCUGUAGUUGGUAGGAAUUAUCUCUUCUAUGGGGCACAUGGCCGGAACAUAUGGUGGAGUAGUGGAUAUGCUGCAGGGUGCAUGGAGCUUCGACAUGGUUUGAUGAGCAAGGAAUGUCCCUGUCGGUGUGCUGGAAAACGUGGCCUAGGCCACUAUGUAGAGUUGUAGACGUGCUGCAGGGAGCAUAUAUCUUCCUCUGGUCGAUAGUAACCGCCGGGAUCAGCCUCUCCUCGGCUUAUCUGAGAAGAAGGUCUUCUAUGUGUAGAAUCUUCCCUUGGCGGCUGUACAAUUGGUGAGCUCUCAUUAUUGACGUCUUGGACCCCCCUCUUUAGGUUUAGAAACCUAUAUUUAUAGAAGAGGUCGUGCCUCCCUUCUUAAGAUUUGGAAAUAUUCAUUAUAUCCUUAGAUAAUAGAAUAUUUCCAUUUUCUUAAGGGAGGUAGUAUGUAUUGGAAUACUUCCUCUUUCUCUUAAAGUUAGGAAGAAUCCUUCUUGCCCAAGCUGGUUACCUGAUAAAUGGAAGAUUUUGAUUUAUCUUAACGCAGGAGAAAUCACUUGGCCUGGAAGACGGAGGAAAGUCCCAGACUCGGGGAUAGGGACCCAGGACCCAGAGGUAGGGUCCCGGACCUGGGGGCAGGGACCCGGGACCCAAAGGCAGGAACCCGGACCCUGGGGGCAGGGACCUGGAAGAUGGAAGCUGGAGUAAUCUCUUCAUGGAAUAUUUCUCCCCAACAACCGGACCACUCCCAAAAUAGCAACGGUCUCCGGAUCCACCUCUCAAGAGGAGAACAAUGAGCUGAUGGCACUAAGCCUCGACCUACUCGAUGAAAAAAUAGAGGCCGCUCGACUGAGAAACUCAUCCUACCAGCAAGACGUCGCCAUGACGUACAACAAGAAAAUCAGAACCAGAACCUUCCAGCAAAGGGACUGGGUUUUACGACGAGCAGAAAAAACGACGGGGAAACUCACCCCAGGGUGGGAAGGACCCUAUAAAGUCAUCGAGGUGCGGAGAGCAGGCGCCCACAGGCUGCAAGAUAGCAAAUGUAAAAUACAACCUAACUGCUGGAACGCCCUGCACCUCAAAGCCUAUCAUUUCUAAUAUGGUCCCCAGACCAUGAUUUCUAUACUACUAUAUACUAUUUAAGCAUUAUAAUUUCCUACUCCUAUGUAUGCUAAACGUCUCCGGACAAAGCUUAUAAUAAAAUAGUUCCGACUAUAAAAGCAGAGGGGAAAUCAUUAUACUUAAAGGGGCAUACGAGCUAGAUCAGGUCUCCAGAGACCUCCGAUCUUGGCCAACCCUCACAAAAAGAGGCACGACCAUAGUGGCACGCCCACAAAGAAUCAAAACGGGUAUGAGACAUAAAGCAGGAAUUGGUAUGCGCAAGCCUGAGUAUGCUUUCAAAACUACCUAAACCCAUGUGCAGCCUAAGGCGCAUCGGGGUCCAUAGAGCACCAAUGUGAAAAGUACAUGUAUUAAAACGCUACAAGCUACACAAUACAGGGAACACAUGGCAUAUAUUCAUUGCAAAAGUACUGUGAAAUACAGGGAGCAUUCUAAAUCCUGCUUCUCCAUACGUGGAAAGCAGCGUAACCCUUGUUGGGGAAAAAUACUCCAGUAUCAUUUCCUCCAGCCUCCAGGCAGGACCCAGACCCCCGGGUCCCCGCUAAAGGGAACACUCCAUGUUCCGGCUAGAAGGAACCCGAGUUCGGUCCCUGGAACCAAGCUCCCUUCCGAAGAAAUGGAAAACUUCCGAUAAAAAGAACCUUCCAUAUUUCCAAAUGUGAAAGAGUUUAACCUAAAGGAACCGACUCCUAGACGACUAUAUAAGAGCUACUAAAGCCCUAAAACAAGGGGGAACUUCUCCAAGGCUUAGAGACUAGAACUAGAUGGCUAGAUUUAGGGUUCUUAUUCAAUACCUUGUAUUCUUGUUUGUUCUAUCUAAUAAAGAUCUCUUCAAGCCUAUCGCUUCAUCAGUUUCUCUCAAAUCCUUACGAAAUACACACAAACUUACCCGGUUUACCAGCUUGUCCAACGUUCCAUAGUACUCAAAAAGAGCCUACACAAAAAUCCCCUAAUAGUUUGGCGCUAGAAGGAGGGGAGUAAUCUAACUACGUGAUGCUGGCGGUGGAUGAGCACCGCUAACUAACUGAAGCUGCUCAAAUGACAGCUGAGUGUCAAAAGCAAAUAGACGGCCUGCAAAGCCAAAUCACUGACAUGCAUCGAGCUCGGGAAACCGCUGGGGAAAAUCCCGACCCCUCUUUAGAAGUUCAAGGUCUGAAGGAAAAGUUUGGCGAACACUCCAAACAGCUGGAGCAAAGCGCCGAGAUACUAAGCCAGCUUCAGUCAGUAAAUACUGUCCUCCAGGACCAGAACCAAGCCCUCAACGCGACAGGCAACAAGAAGCGCUGUUUCAACACCCGGGUCCGACCUAUGGGAAAUCUGAACACGCCCCGCACCGGAGGAGGUACUACCAACGCGCCUCCUGCAGCUGGGGCAACUCGAGAAGGGACCGAGGAUCCUCAAAUCCACAACCUGGAAGAGAGCGAUUCCGAGCCGGAACUUGAGAAAGAAGCACCCGAGAGGACCGCAGAAACAUAGUCCUCCAUAACCGCCUAUCUGGAGCAGAUCUUCUCUAAAAGAUUCGACGCCAUGCAGUCCAUGGUGGAAUGCUUACUAUGAGUAGCCCCCCAAAUCUAGAGGAUCAAUCCAGAAUCCUACGCCGAUACCCCCUUCGUGGAGGAAAUCGCCUCAGUCGAGAUGCCUAGAAAGUUCUCCUUCCCCAGCAUCAAGAUGUAUGAUGGUACUAGCGACCCCAAUGAUCAUAUCGUGCAAUACAAGCAAAGGAUGCUGGCGGUUGCACUCUCUAAGGAGUCCCGUGAAGCCACGAUGUGCAAAGGUUUUGGUUCCACUCUGAUCGGACCCGCCUUGCAAUGGUACAUUAAUCUUCCUAACGGGUCCAUAUCUUUUUUCGCAAGCCUCAGCGGGAAACUCGUGGAGCAAUUUGCGAGCAGUAGGAGCCUGGAGAAGACUUCAGAUGGUCUCUACGAGAUCCUCCAGCAUCGGGUGGAACCCCUGCGAGACUACAUAGCCCGCUUCAACCUGGAGAAAGGGGCGGUCCCCGAAUGCAGCAUCCAUACCGCGACCUCUACCUUCAAGAGAGGUCUACUUCCAGAUGGGGGGCUAUACAAAGAAUUGACCAUGUACCCCUGCAAAACCAUGGAGGAUGUGCUAUCCCGAGCCUGGGCGCAUGUGAAGUGGGAGGAAGACGUUGCUAGCCAUGCCAAGGCUCACACAAAAUAGGACCCAAGGUCAGCCCGAUUAGAUCGAGGAGACCGAGGGGAAAGGUCCUCCCAGAAAGGAUCCAAAGACUCUGGUAAUAUAAACAGGGGCAGGUUCCAAUACCGGCCCGUUAUCUCUCACCUCUCAAUAUCAACACCCAAGCUAGUCAACGCACUGAGGCAGAUGGGCCAACAUGUUAAGUGGCCUCCGAAAAUGAAGGCAGCUGACUCGUUCCGGAACCCGAAACUCAGGUGCGACUUCCACCACGAUCAUGGCCAUAAAACUGAAGACUGCAUCACCUUGAGGAUCGAGGUCAACGCUACUCCAAAAGGGGCAUCUCCGAGAAUUCCUCUCAGAGAAAGCCAAGGCCCACCUUGGCAAAGAAACAGCAGGGAGAUCCAAUGGAGCUACACCAGCCUCACCACCUCACCAAAAUCGGGUGAUCCAUGUCAUAUCUGGAGGCUCAGAAGUAAGUGGAGUGAGCCACACUGCCGCAAAGAAAAGCACCCGCAACGCUAAGCACAAUCUAGAAACAACCCAACCGAAGCGUCUACUCCUAGGCACCGACGAAAUAAGCUUCACAGCUAAGAAGCAAGAGAAGAUCCUAGUUCCCAACCAUGAUGCUCUAGUCAUCUCUCUCACGGUGGCAAACUGCUUGGUGAAAAGAAUAUUUGUGGACAAUGGCAGCUCCAGCAACAUUAUCUUCCAGAUGGCAUACCAAGAUCUAGGGCUGGAGGAAAGCACCCGAAUGCGCAAGGUAACACCGCUCAUCGGAUUCAGCGGUGAAGUCAAGCAAACCAUCGGAGAAGUUGUCCUCCCAGUAUACGCUGAAGGGGUCAACAUAUCUACCAAAUUCAUGGUCGUAGAUUGUCAAUCGGCAUACAACAUGAUCCUGGGAUGACCCUGGAUUCACGACAUGGGAGCAGUCCCUUCAACCCUUCACCAAAUGAUAAAGUUCCCUACACCCUGGGGCAUCAGAAUAAUUAGAGGAGACCAGGACAACUCUCAAUCAUUCUACCAAACCACCCUGAAGGGGAAGACCAAAGUCUUAUAGUAAUUACAGAGAAGACCUCGGACCCUGCGAACUCAGGGACCUGAGGUCAAUGACACAAAUAAUUGGGGGGUCGUUCCGGAGAAAGCGGACCCUGAACCCGAGGAAUCUUCAGAGAACCUAUGUCGACCGCUCCGCAUGGUCUCCCCCGAAUCCCUCCAAAGCUGCAUCCGCUUGCAAGACCUGGCCCUCGCAGGACUCUCGUCCCCCGCCUCACAUAGACAAGAUCACCAAGAACCUUAUCAGGUGUCAGCUAGUGGUCUCGCGGAUAUACUAGUGGGGCACGAGUACUUCAAAUAGACCUCCUCAGAGAGUACAUUGGUCGAAUCCAGAACAAAGGACGCCUCGCAGACGCAGGACGGAGACACUCAGCCAAGCAGGAGACCUCCAGACCUGGUCCCUCCAGUGGAUGUAUGUGACUACACGCUUCAUGGAAGUGCUGAAAACCUUCAUUAACAGGAGACAGUGGCCUCCGAACACUAAAACCUGGGGCAUGAAACGAGUUUCAACCAUGGUCCCUAGACCCAAGAAGGAGGCAGAACCCUGUAGGAGAAGGAGGCAGAACCCUGUAGGAGAAGGAGGAACCCUCCAGCAAGGACGCUCAUCCCAAAAGCAAGUUAAACCUUGCGGAUCACCUAGCAACAAGAGGUUAAACAUGGCCUAACCACCGGGAUACCUCGCAAGCUGAUAUCUUGUACGGUCUCCGGACCAUGAUUUCUAUUAAUUAUUUUAUCUAUUAUUUAAGCAUUAUGUUUUCCUACUCCUGUGUACGCUGAAUUGUCUACGGACAAAGCUUAUAUAAUAAAAUAGUUCCGACUAUAAAAGAGUAGUACGAACGCCAUAAUACUUAAAG